rfam:Picea glauca, whole genome shotgun sequence.
GCAUGCCUACAACAUAGCGUUAAUGAACCGGAUCCCAUUAGAACUCUGCAAUUAAGCGCCCUCAGGCUAGAGUAGUACUGGGAUGGAUGAUCUCCUGAGAAGUCCUAGUGUUUUACACGCC